UGGGGAAUUUUGCACAAUGGGGGAAACCCUGAUGCAGCGACGCCGCGUGAUUUAGAAGGCCUUUGGGUUGUAAAAAUCUUUUUUCCGGGAUGAAAAUGACAGUACCGUAAGAAUAAGGUCCGGCUAAAUACGUGCCAGCAGCCGCGGUAAUACGUAUGGACCGAGCGUUGUCCGGAAUCAUUGGGCGUAAAGGGUACGUAGGCGGCCUAGUAAGUUAGAAGUGAAAUAAUAUGGCUCAACUAGAUAAAGCUUUUAAAACUGCUAGGCUUGAGAGAUGGAAGGGAAAGUGGAAUUCCUGGUGUAGCGGUGAAAUGCGCAGAUAUUAGGAAGAAUACCGGUGGCGAAGGCGACUUUCUGGUCAUCAUCUGACGCUGAGGUACGAAAGCGUGGGUAGCAAACAGG
rnacentral:rRNA from 1 species